rnacentral:misc_RNA from 1 species
CAAACAUAUGCUUCUACAAAUGAAUUUCAAUUUUAUAAAAUUCAAAAAUCAUUAAUAUUAAACAAGCUCACACAGUUUUCUCACGGUAUCACAGACGAUCAAAAAGAGUUCACCUGGUAGAGUAUCACACUAGUAAAGCACAAGAAUGAUUAGGACACCAAAACUGCCACAGGAACACAUCAUAUUGGAGGACUGAGGAGGUGAAGGAAGAAUAAAAAAAAGGUAAAUUACAAAAUUGAUUUAAUUUAAUUCUUUUUACUACGGUUUUUCCUAGAUGAAACAACAGUCCAUCCGUCUUCUCCUUGAGCCUCCUGGCUACCAUCAUCAACCUGCAUGUUUACUUGAUUUGCUUUUGACUGAAAUUUAGGUACAUCAACAGCCAUGUUUGAUCUAUUGUCCACGUCAUCAUCUUCUUCUUCUUCAUCACUAUCAUCAUCUGCAGCCUGGUAUAAAGAAAAGCAAAGUCUAAAGGAACGCCCAAGCUAAUGAAAAUCAUUGAACUUCCAAAUUCUGGCAUGUUAAGUAACAAGAAGAAUUUUCCCAAGCAUUGUAUUCAAAGCAAUAGAAAACAGAUAAAAUUCUUACCAUGGCUCUACCAGAAAAUACCAAAUAGAAACGUAAAAAGAUUUGAAUAGUGCCGGACUACCUACUAAUCCUUCCACCCAAAUGUAUUUUUAGACAGUUUAUCCCCAAGCUAACAAUACCAGAUUGACCUUCUACCAAACCUUUUACCCAAGGGCUCCCAUUGUUGUACCGAGCAGUAAUCGAAGAACUAAAACUAACCAAUAAACAAACUUCUCAAUCUUCCCUUAGGAAGACAAGAAAAUAAUAAAAUCAGAUUUUGGGUUUCUAUCCAUUCAUGUCCUCUAUAUCAAAAAAGUGUUAUAAAGGGAGGAGCAAUAAAAGUUGAAUUGUCAAUGUGUAGGAAAAUUUUAGCAUCUUUAUGACACUGCAAGUUAGAAUGUAGAAAUAUUUUCCAAAGAAAAAAAAGACAAGUCAUGUAACCAUGCAAAGAAUUGAGACUAUAAUUACCUGUCUGAUAUGUUGAUGAGCUCCAGUUCUAGGACCUGCUUGCCUCAACUUUUCAAUAUAGUUAUAGUUACCUUCCAAACACUCUUCAUGCAUGAUCAUUAAUUUUUCUGCAACCUACAUACAGUCGUAGAAAAAGCAGAAUUGCAUAAGAUGGAAAUGAAUCCCUGAAGAAGCUAGCUGCAUUUGAUCACCAGUAUAUUUAUAAAAGUCACCCUUACCUUACAUGUGAAAGUCACAAACAAACUUCAUGCCAAGUAACAAAAACAGUUUAGAAGGCAAAUAGUUACAAACUUCAGAAGUUUAUUAAAAAAAAAAAAAAGCAUAUUAUUGAGUGUUUAAGCCAAAAACAUAAAUAUGAAAAAAACCAGCCAGAAUUACUUGGACUGGUAUAUUGUAAGAAUAUCGCAUCACCAACAGAUCAAAUGGUGAAGGUGCUACUUUUCAUCAGAAUACAUUUAAUUUAUAACAAGUUAGUAACAACUAUUCAAAGCUCUAAUGUAAAGAAGGCAUACCUCUUCAACGCUGCCAUCCUCAAUCAUGGUAUUGAGAGAAAGCAUGCCUUCAUCCAGGAUAUUUUCUAAAUCAUCAAUAUAUAAAGGCUCCUUGGAUUGAGUGAACCAGGAGAAGAUAUCGGAACCAAGCUGGUCAGCUAAUUGUCCAGAGCCACGGCCACCCCACUCAUUCUCAACGGCUAAUUGCAGAGCCGACCAUCUGGAGAGAACAAGAAAUAUGCCUUCUUGGAAUAGAGGCAGUGAAUCUGCAGAUAGAUGCUUUAUGGGUCCAUUAUCUUCGCCGCCGCCGUUCAUGCUGCUGCUGAUUUCGAUUCAAAAUACAGUGUGCCUCUACGCUUUUGAGUUUUGCCUGUGUAAAUCUACAAAUAGGCGAACUAAGUGCCCUCUCACAAGCAAAAUAUAGGAGACGCUAACUAUAAUUUAUAGUAUGAUGCUCGAG